UCAUGGCUCAGAUUGAACGCUGGCGGAAUGCUUUACACAUGCAAGUCGAACGGCAGCACGGACUUCGGUCUGGUGGCGAGUGGCGAACGGGUGAGUAAUGUAUCGGAACGUAUCCAGUAAUGGGGGAUAACUAAUCGAAAGGUUGGCUAAUACCGCAUACGCCCUACGGGGGAAAGCAGGGGAUCUUCGGACCUUGCGUUAAUGGAGCGGCCGAUAUCUGAUUAGCUAGUUGGUGAGGUAAGAGCUCACCAAGGCGACGAUCAGUAGCUGGUCUGAGAGGACGACCAGCCACACUGGAACUGAGACACGGUCCAGACUCCUACGGGAGGCAGCAGUGGGGAAUUUUGGACAAUGGGCGCAAGCCUGAUCCAGCCAUUCCGCGUGAGUGAAGAAGGCCUUCGGGUUGUAAAGCUCUUUCGCAAGGGAAGAAACGAUGCAGACGAAUAAUCUGUGUUAAUGACGGUACCUUGAUAAGAAGCACCGGCUAACUACGUGCCAGCAGCCGCGGUAAUACGUAGGGUGCAAGCGUUAAUCGGAAUUACUGGGCGUAAAGCGUGCGCAGGCGGUUUUGUAAGUCAGAUGUGAAAUCCCCGAGCUCAACUUGGGAACUGCGUUUGAAACUACAAGACUAGAAUAUGUCAGAGGGGGGUAGAAUU
rnacentral:rRNA from 1 species